rnacentral:rRNA from 1 species
UUUAUGGAGAGUUUGAUCCUGGCUCAGGAUGAAUGCUGGCGGCAUGCCUAAUACAUGCAAGUCGAGCGGUAACAUGAAUAGCUUGCUAUUUGAUGACGAGCGGCGGACGGCUGAGUAACGCGUGGGAACGUACCCCAAACUGAGGAAUAACGCACCGAAAGGUGUGCUAAUACCGCAUGUGAUCUACGGAUUAAAGCCUUCGGGCGGUUUGGGAAUGGCCUGCGUACGAUUAGAUAGUUGGUGAGGUAAUGGCUCACCAAGUCGACGAUC